rnacentral:rRNA from 1 species
CCCUUAGAUGUCCUGGGCCGCACGCGCGCUACAAUGACUCACUCAGAAAGUUUUUCCUGAUCCGGAAGGAUUCGGGUAAUCUUCAUAGCAUGAGUCGUGUUAGGGAUCGAUCUUUGCAAUUAUAGAUCUUGAACGAGGAAUGCCUAGUAAGUGCAGCUCAUCAGGCUGUACUGAUUACGUCCCUGCCCUUUGUACACACCUCCCGUCGCUCCUACCGAUUGAGUGGUCCGGUGAACCUUCUGGAUUAAGCAGCAAUGCUUGAGAAGUUAGGUAAACCUUAUCACUUAGAGGAAGGAGAAGUCGUAACA